rnacentral:tRNA from 1 species
CAGGCGAUGGCGCAGCUGCGUGCGGCCGGCUUCGGGCUGGCCGCAACCCUCGUUGAUGGUGGCGACGACGUGUUCCGCGCACCGUUGCCGGA